UCCUCUUCCUCUUCCUCCUGCUCCGCAUUCCUCGCCCGCCCGCUCAGCCGAAUCCUCCACUGGCCGUCUCUGCCAUUUCCUUCCUUCUUCCCUGUGGCCCCACUAUCGCGGCUGAGUUUCGCGCAGCUGUUCUUUCCGUCACACACCUUGGUCUGCUGUCACCACCGACCCUCAAGUCGACGCUGUUCUUGGAUUCUUCUGGGCUUUCUACAUUUCACUCCAUACACAGCUACUAUGACAAGCAAAGGUGCAAAUGGAUUUUCCUGGCUCUUAAUUGAGCAUAAAAUCUGAAAUAUACAUGUGCGAAAGUUAUUGUGCAGAGUUCUUGCAUCAGCAUUAUGAGAACCUCUGCUGCAGCUUGCUUGUUCAGUGGUUCUGUGACUAUUAAGGAUUGUUGGGGUUUUAUGCUUCCUGGCAGUCAUGUUGCUGCAGAGGCUAGGUAUGCUUCUGCAGCAAUGCUCUCAAAAGAAAGCCUUCAGACAUGGCAUUGCUCUCCAUGCUUCAGUCAUCAAGACAGGCAUGGAUUCUGACCUCAUACUCUCAAACCAUCUGAUCAACCUGUAUGCCAAAUGCAAAGAUUUUGAAUCUUCACAUCAGAUAUUUGAUCACAUGUCAAAUAGAAACAUCGUAUCGUGGUCAGCUAUGAUUUCUGGCUACGAUCAGGCCGGAAAGCCUUCCAUGGCACUGGAUCUGUUUGCUAAAAUGCCAUUACAGCCUAAUGAAUACAUCUAUGGCAGUGUCAUAAGUGCAUGUGCGACCCUUUUUGCCCUGACACAAGGUAGACAGAUUCAUGGCCAUUCACUUAAAAAUGGGUAUGAUCAGAUUUCUUAUGUCUCGAACUCUUUGAUGUCAAUGUACAUUAAAUGUGAUUGCUUUGAUGAUGCCUUAUGCAUCUUUAGCAGCAUCUCAGAACCAAAUUCUGUCUCUUAUAAUGCUAUGAUCACAGGAUUUGCUGAGAAUUUAAAGCUCAGUAAAGGUUUGGAGCUAUUCAGACACAUGAACAAGCAAGGUUUAGAUCCAGAUGAGUUUUCUUACAUGGCUUUAAUAGGAAUAUGCUCUAGCGUGGAGGAUUUGCAUGUAGGAAUUGGAUUGCAUUGCCAAACAGUCAAGCUUGGCCUUGACACUACAGUUUUUGUUGGGAAUGUUAUAUUGAUGAUGUACUCAACAUGUGGUUUAUUUGAAGAGGUUGAGAAGGCUUUUAUGUUGAUCAAAGAGAAGGAUGUCAUAACAUGCAACACUUUCAUAGUUGCAUGUUCCAAUUGUGGGGAACAUACUAAAGGUUUGAUGGUCUACAAAGACAUGACAGCAACAAAAAAUAAUUUCUCUUUGAGUCCUGAUGAGUUCACCACAGCUAGUGCUUUGGCUGUUUCUGCAGAACUUGCUUCAUUUCACCAUGGUGGUCAAAUUCAUGCUCAUCUAAUAAGAACUAGGAUGGUCUUAGACAUUGCAGUCUAUAAUGCUAUCAUUAACAUGUAUGCUAAGUGUGGUUGUAGCAAAUAUGCUAGUCAUGUGUUUAAUCUCAUGCCAAACAGGAAUCUGAUCUCCUAUAACACAAUGAUUGCUGCGCAUGGCAAUCAUGGCCGUGCAACAGCUGCUUUGGAAAUUUUCAAGCGAAUGAGAUAUGAAGGUUUUGUUGCUGAUUCUGUCACAUUUGUUGGUCUCUUAACAGCUUGCAGCCAUGCGGGCUUAGUCGAUGAAGGUUUAGCAUUAUUUAAUUCGAUGCAAGAAACUUAUGGAAUAUGUCCCAUGAUCGAGCACUUAUCUUGUUUGAUUGAUAUGUUGGGUCGAUCUGGGAGAUUAGAGGAGGCUGAAUGCUACGUUAAAACAUCUGCUUUUCAAAAUGACUCCGUGAUAUGGGGCAACUUGCUUUCAUCAUGCCGUCUUCAUAAAAAUGUUGUUGUUGGUGAACGGGCUGCUAUUAAACUUUUGGAGCUUCAACCUGGCACCAGUUCACCUUAUGUGCUCUUAUCAAAUUUAUAUGCAUCAGAUGGAAGAUGGGAUGAUGUUGCGGCAGCAAGGAAAAUGUUGAAAUGUACUGGGGUGAAGAAGGAGCCUGGUCAUAGCUUCAUAGAAGUAAAAGGAAUCGCUGAAAAGUUCACAGUUGGAGAUUUUUCACAUGCACAAAUUGAAGAAAUCAUUGGGACAUUGGAGAGCUUAAAUUGGAUGACAAAAAAACUGUAUAUGUCAGCUCUGUUUGACUAGUCUAUUUCUAUAAUGGCCAGAUGUAUCAGGUGCUACGUUAAGUUUAUAAACCUUUCUUGUGCUUGAACCUCUCGAUUCUUCUAAUGAAAGUAAAGGCAUGCUGUUUGGUAAUUUAUCAGGGGUUUGAGCUUACGAGUUGGAUCUAUUCUUGUGUUAUUGAAGGGAAUUGGAGCAAUAUGUUAGUUGAUAACAUGUAUAUGCUCUCGUGCAGAGUGCGGUGGUCUUUCUUGGUGUAUCAAUGUUAUUACUAGACUACCAUGAUCAUGCUCGUGUUCGCCGUCAGCAUAGGACAUGAAACAUUGUCGAUGUUUCUGGAGAUGCAGAACCUGGGGUUUUCACUGGAGUUCACUGUUAGCAGCGUCCUCAAGGCUUGAUGAGAACCGAAGGAAUUGGGGCUUGGGAAGCGACUGCAUGGUGUUAUUGUGAAGAGGAAGUUCAAAGAAGAAGACCAUAUCAAUUCUCUGGUUAAUAUGUUUGAGAGGUCUGGUAAACCUAUGAAUGCUAGAACAGUCUUUGAUCUGAUUUCAGAGAGAAACAUGAUCACAUGGACUUUUGUGAUAUCAGAUUACUCGUGAUGUGUUCUUGGAGGUGUGGCCAUUCUGUUUCCAUGGAGCUGAAGUGACAAGGGAAUUGAUGCUUUUAUGGAUUCAUUGAGCCACUUAUGGUUGCUCUCUGCUAAAAGUAAAUCUUUGCAUAGGUAUUCUCUGCGGGAAAGCUUAGAGCAUAUAUGUGGCCUAUUGUCGACAUCAAGAACCUCCACUAUGGGGGCUUGUUCUAGACAAAAGUGCAAACAACUUGAAGCAUGGGCUAUUGAGGAGCAUCUUGUUCUCGUGGAAUCAAUGUGGCCUUGCUAUUGCAGAACUACAACCUUUUGAAGACAGCACAUCUCAGUUAGCUGAGUUUGCAAGCAACAGAGCCCCACACAGCCUUGUUUGUGUUCCUAUGGAGAAGCAUGGUGUUCCUGGAUUGCUGAUGAUUCUUCCUAAUAAUUCUUGCAACAGAGCUAAACCUGAGAUGUUCUUCUGGAUCAGGAAUUGACUGUUUGUUGUCUCUCCUAUGUUGUGCCCUAAAUCCGAAAUCAACAAUAAUUUGAUUGAUGAAUGGGAUUAUGCCAGGGCUGGAAUCUAAUGCUUGUUCUUAAUGGCAUAUCUUGUCUUAAUCGUAGAGCUCGAUCUCUUUUUCCACUUGGUGUAUCCAGAUCAGAUCUGGCUGAGAAGACCACCUAUCUAAACCAGUGUCAUCAGGUGCAUCAGCAUGGUAAACAGUAUACCUCUGUGUGAGGCUUUAACAGGAUGCAAUGGUUUGUACUGAUGAAAAGGAAAUGAAGUUGACUUCAUCGUAACAUCUUCAUUCUAAAUCUACACCAACGGGAGCUGCCAGUGCCAGCUUCCGGAACACACCAUAUGCCAUGGUUGACAAGGAGCAGGUCAUUCAAAACCGGAGAGGACGACUCGGAGAAUCCAAUUCCCAUGCUGUGGUGGCUGUCAGCCACGCAUGGUGCUUUCAUUAGUGGCCUAAUUAAGCAUCCCAAAGAUACUAAUCCUUUUUCUCUCUGUCCCUCCUAUUUCUGCCGUAAGAUAAUCCAAUCACUCCUCUCGGCUUCUCGCUGCUUGACGAUGAGUAGGGCAGCGUCGAGCUGGUUCUAGAACCGUGGAACACCGGGUCCGCUUUGCUCACUUGCUCGGAGUUCCUUCUCCAGAUGUAGUUGAUGGAUUUGUCCCUUUUAUCGGAUCUGACGGCCACUGUUUCAUCUCCCACCUCCUCGCCCCUCCCAGGCCGAUCCAGGCGGCGAAUCAUGGCCGUCCAUGAAGCCCAGACGACAGUGCCGCCGCCCCCGCUCCUCCCCCUCCUCCCGCUAACGUGCCCCAGCCAGGCCCUGUUGCGGGGAAUGCCCGCCGUCGCUCACCUUCAGGUCCCGGACCUAAUCCAUAACAUGCCUGACAUCCAACCAGAGAAGAGGGUGCCUGUUGAUGCUGACGAAGAAGAUGGUGAUCCAGACGGAAAUGGAGAUGAAGAUGGGGGGUCUGGUGUAGGUGAAGAGGGGUCCUCGGACAAAGAUAGCGAGGGGCAUGGGAACCCCGAUGAUGCCAACAGCAAGGAAGUUCCAGGAGGUGAACGGAAUGGGCAAAACGAUGACGAGGAGGAAGAGCCCGAAGAUCAAGGGGACGACAAUGACGAUGACAAAGAGGAAGAUGAUGAAAAUGGUGAAAAUGAGGAUGAGAUAGAAGACGAGGAAGAGGAUCAGGAGAAUGAUGAAGAAGAAGACGAUGAGGAAGAGACACUUCGACCCCCCAAAAAGAGGAAGAAGUGAUUUUUUGUUCAUAGAUUUUCUUCUUGCUGGAGCCCCUUAUCUUAUUACUUUGAGUUGUCAUAUUUAGGGGCACAAGUACUUGCUUAGGAUAGUGGUUAUGCAUCAGAAGAAUAAACUUUUAUCUCUGAGAUGUGGCAUUGAGCUAAUCUGUUCCCAAGUAUAAAACCUCUCUGAGUAAACUUGUGCUUCUUGUGCUUCC